UGGAGCGAUGCGAGUUCUCUUCCUGAGCACUGCCGAGAUGGAAGGAGAGGGGUCUGUGCUGAUGACAUCCUCUGCAACUCCUGACGACAGAACAGACUGAACGUCCACGACUCUGCGACCCCCCGCCGGCUCCACAGUAGGACCUGUGGACGUGGAUUUACUGGAGAGAUGUCAGAGUGGGGCUGCUACAAGCUGAGAGCGCACCAGGGAAGUUGGGGGUUCGGUUUUGCUUUGCUCAAGGGCACCUCAGGAGUGCUCGGGAAGCUACCAGACCAACUUCCACAUUAUGGUCCUUACCGGACUUGAACCGGCGGCCCCUUUGGUUCCCAACCCAUGUCCCUACUGACUGAGCUACUGCCACACCAUGUUACUCCUUGAAUUUGCUGAACAUUUCCGGUGAUGGCCAAAAACAACUAUUUGCUCCAGGUUAAAAACAUAUUUGAUCCGUUAUAUUUGUGAUUGUGCAGAAUAGUUUUCAAUGAACAUGUACGAGUUUUGUAAUGAAGUAAACCGUGUAAGGACCAGUCCAUAAUGUGGU